AGCAGCCGCGGUAAUUCCAGCUCCAAUAGCGUAUAUUAAAGUUGUUGCAGUUAAAAAGCUCGUAGUUGAAUUUCGGGAUUCAUCCGUUGGUCGGGCUUCACGGUCCGUACUGGUGUGAUGGGUUCCUACCUUCUGAAUAAUCGGCAUGCCAUUAAUUUGGUGCGCCGGGGAAGCAGAACUAUUACCUUGAAAAAUUAGAGUGCUUAAAGCAGGCAAGUGCCUGAAUAGGUUAGCAUGGAAUAAUAAAAUAGGACGGCAUGGUUCUAUUUUGUUGGUUUCUAGGAUCACCGUAAUGAUUAAUAGGGAUAGUUGGGGGCAUUAGUAUUCAAUUGUCAGAGGUGAAAUUCUUGGAUUUAUUGAAGACUAACUUCUGCGAAAGCAUUUGCCAAGGAUGUUUUCAUUAAUCAAGAACGAAAGUUAGGGGAUCGAAGACGAUCAGAUACCGUCGUAGUCUUAACCAUAAACUAUGCCGACUAGGGAUCGGACGAUGUUAAUUUUUAAUGACUCGUUCGGCGCCUUA
rnacentral:rRNA from 1 species